rnacentral:rRNA from 1 species
GACGAACGCUGGCGGCGUGCUUAACACAUGCAAGUCGAACGAAAAGGCCCUGCUUGCAGGGUACUCGAGUGGCGAACGGGUGAGUAACACGUGGGUGAUCUGCCCUGCACUUCGGGAUAAGCCUGGGAAACUGGGUCUAAUACCGGAUAGGAGCCAUUUUUAGUGUGAUGGUUGGAAAGUUUUUUCGGUGUAGGAUGAGCUCGCGGCCUAUCAGCUUGUUGGUGGGGUAAUGGCCUACCAAGGCGGCGACGGGUAGCCGGCCUGAGAGGGUGGACGGCCACAUUGGGACUGAGAUACGGCCCAGACUCCUACGGGAGGCAGCAGUGGGGAAUAUUGCACAAUGGGCGCAAGCCUGAUGCAGCGACGCCGCGGGGGGGAUGACGGCCUUCGGGUUGGAAACUCCGUUCGCUAGGGACGAAGCUUUUUGUGACGGUACCUAGAUAAGAAGCACCGGCUAACUACGUG